rnacentral:rRNA from 2 species
GCAGUCGAGGGGUAACAGGAGUAGCUUGCUAUUUGCUGACGACCGGCGCACGGGUGCGUAACGCGUAUAGAAUCUACCUUAUACUGGGGGAUAGCCUUUGGAAACGAAGAUUAAUACCCCAUAGUAUUAUUUUUUGGCAUCAUUAAAUAAUUAAAGUUUCGGCGGUAUAAGAUGACUAUGCGUUCUAUUAGUUAGUUGGUAAGGUAACGGCUUACCAAGACUUCGAUAGAUAGGGGUCCUGAGAGGGAGAUCCCCCACACUGGUACUGAGACACGGACCAGACUCCUACGGGAGGCAGCAGUGAGGAAUAUUGGACAAUGGAGGCAACUCUGAUCCAGCCAUGCCGCGUGUAGGAAGACUGCCCUAUGGGUUGUAAACUACUUUUAUAUGGGAAGAAUAAGGUCUACGUGUAGAUCGAUGACGGUACCAUAAGAAUAAGCACCGGCUAACUCCGUGCCAGCAGCCGCGGUAAUACGGAGGGUGCAAGCGUUAUCCGGAAUCAUUGGGUUUAAAGGGUCCGUAGGCGGGCAUAUAAGUCAGUGGUGAAAGUCUGUGGCUCAACCAUAGAAUUGCCAUUGAUACUGUAUGUCUUGAAUUAUUGUGAAGUGGUUAGAAUAUGUAGUGUAGCGGUGAAAUGCUUAGAGAUUACAUAGAAUACCGAUUGCGAAGGCAGAUCACUAACAAUAUAUUGACGCUGAUGGACGAAAGCGUAGGUAGCGAACAGGAUUAGAUACCCUGGUAGUCUAC